rnacentral:rRNA from 1 species
CGGUCCUAAGGUAGCGAAAUUCCUUGUCGGGUAAGUUCGACCUGCACGAUGGUGUAACGAUCUGGGCGCUGUCUCAGCCAUGAGCUCGGUGAAAUUGUAGUCAGGUGAAGAUGCCGUGUACCCGUCAGGGACGGAAAGACCCCGUGCACCUUUACUGCAGCUUCAGAGUGGCAUUAGGAAGAAAUUGUGUAGAAUAGGUGGGAGGCUUUGAAGCAUCGGCGCCAGCUGAUGUGGAGCCACAAUGUGAAAUACCACCCUGUUUGUUUCUGAUGUCUAACCUCGUACCGUCAUCCGGUACAGGGACCCUCUGUGGCGGGUAGUUUGACGUGGGGCGGUCGCCUACCUAAAGAGUAACGGAGGCGCGCGAUGGUAGGCUCAGGACGGUUGGAAACCGUCUGUUAGAGUGCAAUGGCAUAAGCCUGCCUGACUGCGAGACUGACGAGUCGAGACGAGACGAAAGUCGG